CACUUCUGUUGUGGGGCCGAUUUCUUGGGUGAAGCCAUUAGAAGCUCCGUCUUUUGACCGUUUCGGAGCUCCGUGUUGUUUUCCUGCUGUAACGGCAGCAGUGGUCUCGUCUCUGCCGUCUCUCCUCCGGCGGCUGAACAUGUCGCUCGUUCUUAUCUCGGGUUCUUCUCGUCCUAUCCCGGUUCUAUUUUCCGAUCGCCCGGGCCGUCUCCUGGAGCUCGGAGCACCGGGCGGGGGCCGUCGGUUUGAGCCCUAACGCCAGAUUUCUCGGGCUCAUUCUUCGAGGGAGGGGGACGGCCCCCCUGCUGCCGCCGUGGCGGUGGAGGAUAAGGAUGAGCCGCAGUGCGAUCCAGGCCCGACAUUGCCCUCAGACCGCGAUACUAGGAGGAGGUGGGAAGGGGUGGUAUCCCGGAACAAGGCUGGGGAGCGCGGCACCUACAUCGAUAGCAUAUACCUCCUCCUCACCUACUACACGAAGCCUGAAUCCAUGGCUGGUGGACGAUGAUGUGAUGCGGUGAUCAAACUUUAAGGUUAAGGAAGAGGAAGUAUUAAUGUCUUUCCUGAUCAGAGAGCAAGAACUAAGAUCUUUGUUCAUCAGCAGAAAAGAAUAACCUUUGUGCACCAACAGACUGACUCGUCACAAAUCUUGAUAUGUCUCGACGGUCCAUAAUAAACUGUGCAUCAGAAAAUGGGAAGCUUGUGAUGCUGUUUGGGCCGGUCUGGCCCACUAGGAGGCCUGAGCCGGCCGUACCCACUUAAACGGAAUUGGCUUCGAGGAAUAUUCGCUUGCUCGAGGAGUAUCCGGUAUCCCUUCACGAAGGCGGCAUCUACUCACUGCCUUCCAUACCAUUUCAUCUGCCGAUUCUUCUUUUCUCUCUCUCGUUCGCGUGCUCGCUUAUCUCGGAGUUCCUUCGGAUCCAGGAAGAAUGAAUCAACCAGUUGGCACUUCACUUCAAGCACAACUCAGAGUCAAUGAACUUCUUUUAUUCAAAGGAAACAAUCACACAG